rnacentral:rRNA from 1 species
GAUGAACGCUGGCGGCGUGCCUAAUACAUGCAAGUCGAGCGAACAGAUGAGGAGCUUGCUCCUCUGACGUUAGCGGCGGACGGGUGAGUAACACGUGGAUAACCUACCUAUAAGACUGGGAUAACUUCGGGAAACCGGAGCUAAUACCGGAUAAUAUAUUGAACCGCAUGGUUCAAUAGUGAAAGACGGUUUUGCUGUCACUUAUAGAUGGAUCCGCGCCGCAUUAGCUAGUUGGUAAGGUAACGGCUUACCAAGGCAACGAUGCUUAGCCGACCUGAGAGAGUGAUCGGCCACACUGGAACUGAGACACGGUCCAGACUCCUACGGGAGGCAGCAGUAGGGAAUCUUCCGCAAUGGGCGAAAGCCUGACGGAGCAACGCCGCGUGAGUGAUGAAGGUCUUCGGAUCGUAAAACUCUGUUAUUAGGGAAGAACAAAUGUGUAAGUAACUAUGCACGUCUUGACGGUACCUAAUCAGAAAGCCACGGCUAACUACGUG